AGCGAACGCUGGCGGCGUGCCUAACACAUGCAAGUCGAACGGAGUGUUUAUCUGAAAUGGACUUCGGUUUAUGGAUGAUUCUUACUUAGUGGCGAACGGGUGAGUAACACGUAGGUAACCUGCCCUCGGGACUGGGACAACCACUGGAAACGGUGGCUAAUACCGGAUAAGACCACAGGAGGAGACUCAUGUGGGAAAAGGAGCAAUUCACCUGAGGAUGGGCCUGCGGCCUAUCAGGUUGUUGGUAGGGUAAUGGCCUACCAAGCCUAAGACGGGUAGCCGGUCUGAGAGGAUGAACGGCCACACUGGGACUGAGACACGGCCCAGACUCCUACGGGAGGCAGCAGUGAGGAAUUUUGCGCAAUGGGGGAAACCCUGACGCAGCGACGCCGCGUGGAGGAAGAAGGUCUUCGGGUUGUAAACUCCUUUUAUAGGGGAAGAUAAUGACGGUACCCUGUGAAUAAGCCACGGCUACUCUGUG
rnacentral:rRNA from 1 species